AUCUAUGGUCAUACCACCCUGAAUGUGUCCCAUCUCAUCUAAACUCAGAAGCUAAGUAGCAUUGGGCCUGAUUAGUACUUGAAUGGGAAAGUCUAGGAGAUUUAGUAUGGGGUGACAAUGAAUA
rnacentral:rRNA from 1 species